AUUGAAACACUGGUUCUCAUACAAUCACCAAAGUUAAGCAACAUCAAGCCUGGUCAGUACCUAGAUGGAUGACCACUUGGGAAUACCACAUGCUGUAAG